GUCGUGGCGUAGUGGUUUGAGCGUUGGACUACGACUCUGGAGGCCAGGGUUCGAGUCCCAGCUCGGCCA